GUUGUAAAUAGGGUUUGUGAGGAGUAUUUUUUAGAAAGUUACAAUGGAAAAGCUAUAUAGGUAGUACUGAGAUGGAAAGUUGAAAUAAUAGUUAAAUAUUUAAGGUUGGGUAAGAAGACUUUAAUGGUCGUACCUUUUGAAUGAUGGUUUGGUAAGAAUAGUUACGUAAAUAAUGUUGUUCGCUCUCGAAGCAAGGUGAUCUAAUGUUUUCUGCUUGUGUAGUAAAACUUUUACUGUUGCAGAAGUAAGGUUGGAGGAGAUGUUAGUUGUGAAAUGCUAAUCGCACCUUGAGAUAGCUAGUUUUCUGGGAAAUUGACGUAAGUCAAGGUUUAUGGUUGCUACUUAUUCUGGUUUAACUCUUUUUUGAGAAUCAUGGAUUGUUUGGUGGUGGCAUUUUCUUAUACGGGAGGGGAUAAGCUUUCCUGUUUAGUUGGAAAAAUCCUUUUUUACGAGUUAAUGAGCUGAAAUUAACAUUUUUGUUUAGACGCUGGAGUAGGGUUAAUAGCACUUUUCUUAUAAAAUGGCGUUAAAGCUUUUGCUAUGGUUAUCAAAGAUGGAUAAAUUUUUACGGAGUUUCAGAGGUUGUGAAUAUGGUACUGGGAAUCUUUAGGUUUUUAGAGGUUAUGAUGCUUGAAUUAGUAGGGAGAAUAAAAGAGAAAUACACUGAAUGUCAGUGGAGCCUAUUGGGUUAGUGUUAUACUGUUUGUGUUUUAAGCGUGUCUAACGUUGGAUGAAUAAAAGGGAGUUUUCAGGAAAUAGCUUUUAUUUUAACGUCUUUCGACGCAGAGAGUUAUAUAAUAUCUUAAUUAGAGAAGAGGAACUCGGCAAAUAUUGGCUUUGCCUGUUUACCAAAAACAUCGCCCCUUGAAAAGUUUUGAUGUAUGGGGGGUACUGCCUGCCCGGUGACAAUUGUGUUAAACGGCCGCGGUAUUUUUGACUGUGCGAAGGUAGCGUAAUCAUUUGCCCUUUAAUUGGGGGCUUGAAUGAAUGGCAAGACAGAAGCUAUGCUGUCUUUUCUUUAAUUUCUUGAAUUUAAUAUUGUCGUGAAGAAGCGAUAAUAGGGCCGUAGGACGAGAAGACCCUGUCGAGCUUUACUAAGGGCGGUUUCUUUUUAUUGGACUUUGAGGGCUAAUUGUUUUUGCUGGUAACAGUAAUCUUGUGAGUUACUUUUGAAGGAGCUAAGGGGAAACUGUCUGUUGUUUGGUUGGGGCAACCGCGGAGAAUAAGAAUCCUCCGCUUUUUAUGAGGAAAAAGUUACUGCUUUGUUGUAUCAAUGUGUUGGAUGUUGAUUUGAUUAGGAUCCACUUUUUAAGUGAUUAAAGGAAUAAGUUACCGCAGGGAUAACAGCGUUAUUCUUUUGGAGAGUUCAUAUUGAUAAGGGAGUUUGCGACCUCGAUGUUGGAUCGGGAUGUCCUGGGGAUGUAGCAGUUCCUGAGGGUUGGUCUGUUCGACCAUUAAAAUCUUACGUGAUCUGAGUUCAGACCGGCGUGAGCCAGGUCAGUUUUUAUCCACGGUGUGGAUUUUGUCUUUUUUAGUACGAAAGGACCGGGAGGGCGACACCAAUGCUUUUAGGUACGUGUUUUGUAAAAAUUUUUGGUUACAGAUUAAA
rnacentral:rRNA from 1 species